rnacentral:rRNA from 1 species
UACAGAGGGGGCAAGCGUUGUUCGGAAUUACUGGGCGUAAAGGGCGCGUAGGCGGCCUUCUAAGUCGAACGUGAAAUCCCCGGGCUCAACCCGGGAACUGCGUCCGAUACUGGAAGGCUUGAAUCCGGGAGAGGGAUGCGGAAUUCCAGGUGUAGCGGUGAAAUGCGUAGAUAUCGGGAGGACACCAGUGGCGAAAGCGGCUACCUGGCCCAUUCCUGACGCUGAGGCGCGAAAGCUAGGGGAGCAACGGG